UAGCUGUCUCGUGGUUGUGAGUGAGCUGUAAUGAGAUGAGUAUGUACCGAUGAGCAUUCGCUGCAGCUAAGAGCCUCUUCAGAACAAACAGCACAAAGGAACCAGAGGCUGCAUAAUCUUGAUUGUCAUCACAUCUGCCGUAAUGUCAAUGCAAACAGACUCUUCAAAGGCUCAUGGGACUUUGACACUGCACCCAUCAGUCAUGACAGCACAGCAUCCGUGUCGUCUCCAGAUCCCUGGAGCUCAGGCUUUGAUCUAGCAGCAGUCCUCAGCCUCCUCCCCACACACCCCGUCCAAACGCCUGUGCUGUUGAUAGGAGUUUGUUUGCCUUCCGCCAGGCUUGUGUAAAGCAUGUGAUCCUGUCACGGGAACCUCGUCCUUCAGUCCACCUGAGGUGUGUCAGCCACAUGUGACCCAAACCCCAAAAGGAAGGAUGGGAAGUUUAAACCUCAAGUCCUUCUGGGUCCUAAAAAAAAGUGCACAAUUCCACACACAGGUAAACUGGUAUUAAUCAGAGUAGAAUACGGUCCACCCAUCAAACUUAAUGAAAUCUGCUGGCCUCAAUCUAAUGCUUCAAGGGUGCCCGCCCGGACAGAGAGAUCAUCCUCUUGAGGGCUU
ensembl:lncRNA